rnacentral:lncRNA from 1 species
AUGGAAAAACUCUGCAAUGAAAAUGAAGGAAAGCCUGAGAACCAUGGAAAGAUGGAAGAGGAAGAAGAGCCACUGGAUGCGGGAAAGCCAGGAGAUAAGGAAAAGCCAGAGAGUGAGGCAAAGCCCAAAGAAGGAAAGCCAGAGAGCCAGGGAAAGCCAGUGGGCGAGGGCAAACCAAAAGAAGGAAAAGCAGAGAGUGAGGCAAAGCCAGAGAGCCAGGGAAAGCCACCAAAAGAAGGAAAAGCAGAGAGUGAGGCAAAGCCAGAGAGCCAGAGAAAGCCAGUGAGAAAGCGCCCAGCUGGGGAUGAUAUACCCAGGAAGGCCAAAAGAAAAACCAACAAGGGGCUGGCUCAGUGUCUCAAGGAAUACAAGGAGGCCAUACACGAUAUGCAUUUGAGCAAUGAGGAGAUGAUAAGAGAAUUUGACGAGAUGGCCAGAGUGGAGGAUGAGGUGAAGAAAACCAGACAGAAAUUGGGGGGUUUUAUGUGGAUGCAAAAAAGUUUACAGGACCCCUUCCACCCCAGGGGCCCAAGGGAACUCAGGGGUGGCUGCAGGGCCCCACAGAGGGGUUUUGAAGACAUUCCUUUUGUGUAG